UACAGAGGGUGCAAGCGUUAAUCGGAAUUACUGGGCGUAAAGCGUGUGUAGGUGGUUGGAUAAGUUAGAUGUGAAAUCCCCGGGCUUAACCUGGGAACUGCGUUUAAGACUGUUCAACUAGAGUACUGUAGAGGAUAGUGGAAUUUCCAGUGUAGCGGUGAAAUGCGUAGAUAUUGGAAGGAACACCAGUGGCGAAGGCGACUAUCUGGAUAGAUACUGACACUGAGACACGAAAGCGUGGGGAGCAAACAGG
rnacentral:rRNA from 1 species